rnacentral:lncRNA from 1 species
CAUUUCUGAGACUGGAAAGGGCCUAACUAAUUGAAAUUGAAUUAAAAUAAAUGGAUUUUCUCUCUCUUACAAACAAAUAGCAUUUGAAAUUAGACACCUAAAUCCUCCUCUUCUUUCUCUCUAGAGGAAACUUGCAUCCAAAGACUGGUCAUUUGGAAAAUACAAAGGCCAGGCCCCCUUGCCUCAAUUUGGGACAACUCUAAAGGACCAGCUUGCUUCCACAGCUGAGGUCUUUGUUGUACUGCAUGGUGGUUCAGCUCUUCCCUAUGCCCAUGCCGUGAAUUAGAUAAGACAGUUGACCCUUCAGACCUGGAUUUGAAUCUUAACUUGCCCAUAUACUAACUGUGCAACCUCUUCAACAUAUAACUUACUUCUUGGAGCUUUGGUUUCCUCAUCUGUGAAUAAGCUCAUAAAGGGCAGGAUGGUAUAGUGGUUAAGAGCCCACAGACUCUGAAGCCAGACUGCCUGGAAAAGAAUCCUGGGGCCACCUCUUACUAGUUGUAUGAUUUUAGCCAACUUCUCACUUUACUUCACUUCUCAGAGCUACAAGUCAUUCCUCUGAAAAAUAAGGGAAAAAAUAACACCUAGCUCUCAGAGCUGUUGUAUGGCUUAAAUGAAUAUAUAUAUAGUACUUAAAUAGUACCUACACUCUGUAAACAUUUAAUAAAUGUGUUGGCUGACCUUGUCGCUAUUAUACUCUCUAACUUGGUGGAUAAUUAUUCAAAUGGCCACAAAUUCAUCCUUUUUCUGCAUUAACAUCCUUGCAAUAUAACAUUGCAGAUCUCCCAUCAUGAUGUAGAAUCUAUUUCUUCACU